AGAUUCAAUGGCGAAAACUUAAGAUCUAUAUUUGAGAAUAAAUUAUUAUUUGAAGAUUUAUUUAAAAUAGAUAAAAUAUAUUUUAUAUUUGAGAACACGGAGAAUAUUUUGGUGUUGAAUAUUUUGGUAAAAAUAUUUAAAAUUAUAUUUAAUUAACGAUUUUGUUUUGCUUGGGCGGGUAUUAAUUUUUUUAAAAAAUAUUCUAUACUUUUACGAUGCAUUAUUUAAAUAUUGAAUAUUUUGUUAAAAAUAUUUAAAAUUAUAUUUAAUUAACGAUUUAGUUUUGAUUUUGGGUAUUAAAAUAUUUUUAACAAUAUUUAACGCUUUUAUGGCGCGCCAAAUUUUAAUACUCGUCAAAAUUAAAUCUACUAUUUUAUUUAAGGAAAAACCUACUAUCAUAAAUUAAAAUUCAAAUUAUCAAAUUCGCGGGUAUUAAAUUUAUGCGGGCAUUACAAAUUUAAAUUUUAAUUUUGAAUACUACAUGUUGGCAGCAAAUAAAUUUAAUUUUACGUAUUACGUGAUUAGCGAAGGUAUUGCAUGAUUGGCUGGUAUUACGUUAGAUAAGAGAUAAAUUUAGUUUUACGUAGAUAGGAGAUAACGGAUAUAAAGGGUAUUUUUGUCAACAAAAAUGACAGAUACUUUUAUUUUUAUUCGUUGGAUGAGAUCUAAUGGCGAAAACUUAAGAUCUAUAUUUAAGAAUAAAUUAUUAUUUAAAGAUUUAUUUAAAAUGAGUGGUUGAAAUUUACUGGACAUGACAAUAUUAGUAAAAGAGAUAGAGACAUUUUUGGAAAGGAAAAAAUUUCAAAACUCACGCUUUUAUAAGUAGUAUAGAUAUAUAUAUAUAUAUAUAUAUAUAUAUAUAUGCUAAUGCUACUAUCCUAUUAAUAGGAUAAUGAAACUCCAAUGAGUUAUGAAGUGACUCUUAGACUUUUGGCUCAUUAUGAGGGUGAGUUAAUGUGUCUCAUAAUGAGAGAGUUAGUGUGUGUCUAGAUUCAUUGUAUCUAGGAGCCUAUAAGUGUGGGAUUUGGUUAAGGCCAAAACACACAAGAGGGAGUGUGUAUGUAAGUUGUAAUUCUCAUUUUCUAAGUAGUGUAGUACUUAGCUUUUUAAGAGAAUCUCUGUCUCUCUCUCUUUGUCAUUCCCUUAGCAUACUUAGUCGUAGGACGCGAAGGUCCGGACUAGCAACAGGGACGAAGGCUUGCCCAUCUUCGAGCAGGAAGGCGGGCGCCGCACGGGCUUUGCGAACAGAAACAAUAAGGCCGUGACAGUUGGUAUCAGAGACGGUUCGAGAAGGAACCAUGUAUUCAGAAGCUGCCGUCGUUAACGUUGUGCCUG
rnacentral:lncRNA from 1 species